AUCGCUUCUCGGCCUUUUGGCUAAGAUCAAGUGUAAAAAUAUUUUUUUCCAGAAUUUUUCAGUUUUGAUCUUUGAAAAUGUUCCAACAGAUCAAGGCUAAUCUGUGAUUCAAACAUCCAAACGCUAACUAAACAAA
rnacentral:snRNA from 1 species